rnacentral:rRNA from 1 species
AAAGAAACUAACAAGGAUUCCCCUAGUAACGGCGAGUGAAGAGGGAAGAGCUCAAAUUUUAAAUUCUUGGGCUCGCGGCCGGUAGAAGUUCUUUGGAACAGGACAUCAUAGAGGGUGACAAUCCCGUCCGUGACCGGUCGUGCGUUCAUCUACGAUACGCUUUCAAAGAGUCGAGUUGUUUGGGAUUGCAGCUCCAAACGGGUGGUAAACAUCACCUAAGGCUAAAUAUUGGCGAGAGACCGAUAGCGAACAAGUACCGUGAGGGAAAGAUGAAAAGAACUUUGAAAAGAGAGUUAAACAGUACGUGAAAUUGUUGAAAGGGAAACGAUUGAAGUCAGUCGUGCUGGCGCGAAAUCAACCCUCUCGUCUUGAGAUCACAUGGCGCGACGAGCCUCAAAACCGUCACGAAGCGUGAACUCUUGACGAAAAGGUGCACUUUCGUGUCCGCUGGUUAACAUCAAUUUCGAACGUCAUAAAAAGGCUGGAGGGAUGUGGCUCCUUCGGGAGUGUUAUAACCUUUAGCGGAAUGUGGCGUUCGGGAUUGAGGAUUGCAACGAAUACCUUCAGGGCUGUUCCACCUGGCUUCUCAUUGGUAUCCUGGUGACGACAGCUUGCUGACGUCGUUAGGAUCAGCUUCUGAACAGGCUAGAGUGUGAGCAAAUUCGUUAAGGAUGUUAACGUAAUGGCUUAAAC